UACGUAGGGGGCAAGCGUUGUCCGGAAUCAUUGGGCGUAAAGAGCGUGUAGGCGGCCCGAUAAGUCCGCUGUGAAAGUCCAGGGCUCAACCCUGGGAUGCCGGUGGAUACUGUCGGGCUCGAGUCCGGAAGAGGCGAGUGGAAUUCCCGGUGUAGCGGUGAAAUGACGCAGAUAUCGGGAGGAACACCUAUGGCGAAGGCAGCUCGCUGGGACGUUACUGACGCUGAGACGCGAAAGCGUGGGGGAGCAAACAGG
rnacentral:rRNA from 1 species